rnacentral:rRNA from 1 species
CAGCCGCCGCGGGAAUACGGAGGGUGCAAGCGUUAUUCGGAAUUACUGGGCGUAAAGCGCACGCAGGCGGUUGCCCAAGUCAGAUGUGAAAGCCCCGGGCUUAACCUGGGAACUGCAUUUGAAACUGGGCGACUAGAGUAUGAAAGAGGAAAGCGGAAUUUCCAGUGUAGCAGUGAAAUGCGUAGAUAUUGGAAGGAACACCGAUGGCGAAGGCAGCUUUCUGGGUCGAUACUGACGCUCAUGUGCGGAAGCGUGGGGGGCAAACAGGAUUAGAUACCCCUGUAGUCCCUGUCUCUUAUAC